rnacentral:rRNA from 1 species
GACGGAGGGGGCUAGCGUUGUUCGGAAUUACUGGGCGUAAAGCGCACGUAGGCGGCCUUUCAAGUCAGAUGUUAAAGCCCCGAGCUUAACUCGGGAACUGCAUUUGAUACUGUUGGGCUUGAGACCGGGAGAGGAUAGCGGAAUUCCCAGUGUAGAGGUGAAAUUCGUAGAUAUUGGGAAGAACACCAGUGGCGAAGGCGGCUAUCUGGACCGGUACUGACGCUGAGGUGCGAAAGCGUGGGGAGCAAACAGG